UACGAAGGGUGCAAACGUUGCUCGGAAUCAUUGGGCGUAAAGCGCACGUAGGCGGCUUUGCAAGUCGGAUGUGAAAUCCCUCGGCUCAACCAAGGAAGUGCAUCCGAAACUGCAGAGCUUGAGUACUUAAGAGGAUCGCGGAAUUCCCGGUGUAGAGGUGAAAUUCGUAGAUAUCGGGAGGAAUACCAGUGGCGAAGGCGGCGAUCUGGGAAGAUACUGACGCUGAGGUGCGAAAGCGUGGGAGCAACAGG
rnacentral:rRNA from 1 species